rnacentral:lncRNA from 1 species
AGAAAAAACUCCACAAGUUCAUUCUGGAAAGGUGUGCCACUUCAAACCGGGUCCCACUCUGCAUCAACCCUCUUUCGACUGCUUUCAAGAGCUUUGCUAGUUCGACGGUGGCGCAUCCUUCGGAGCUGCCUCCGUCGCCCCACCAAUGGGAGUGACACGGGCGCCCUCCCCUGCACCACCCGUGACCCUUGCUGUUGCCAGCCUUGGGGGCCCAAAGGCUGCAGCUGCCACAGCAGCUUCACCGACACGUCAUUCACCACUGCGAUCACCUCUGUCACCACCAUCACCGCCUAUCUACAACGGCGGCACUGCUCCCUCGGGUCCCCCAGUGGCAGCACCACUGCUGAGCCAACCAGCUGCGCGACACUCUCAGCACCAGUGCGGAUUGGCUGCUGUCGACUGUCUGUCACUCUCUCGCACACAUGCACGGGAUUAGUGUUGAUGGGGAGGCCUCACGGCUUAAGGGUGUGAGUCGAGGCGUCGGGAGCGUUUUGGUUGGUGGUCAGCUGUCUAUUGAGCGACUCACCCGUAAGCGCUCCGUGAGAAGCUUGCGGCUGUCUUGUGUCAGCCAUGAAUGUGUCCAGCUUUGAGAAAGGUACAAAAAGGGCUUUGCGGAAAGAGCCAUUUUCAAGGCUAGGAAUGGAGUCACUUUACUUUUUCCUUAGUGGCACCUGCUGGAAAGAGGAAAAACGUUCUGCGAGUUUUCUUUUCUCUCUCCCUCUAUUUUAUAGCUUCGCACUUCAGUUCUGUCUCGUAUUGCCAUACCGCUUUUCUUUUUUCCUCUGCUUUUAUCCAGGGUGUUCACCUGAUAGCAGGAUUCCUUAUACUUUUUUUUUUCCGACCCUGUUCUGCCCUACUUGGAUUCCUUAAGGAGGUCUUUGUUUGGUCUGGUUCACGUAACUGAAGAGACUUUAUUGUGGCAUCCCAAAAGAGAGAUGCAGGAGCUCGGACCAUCUGGCUCUCGGUAUUCAGUUUAGUGAAAUUUGUCGGGGACCACCGCAAAUGCAAGAGGCUUUGGGACAAAUUUUCACGUGACGCAAUGCCUGGCCAUGUGUCGCUUGCCCUGGGCAAGUGUAGUCACCCGUGACGGCAGACAUCCAUCGGCACUCCUAGCCUUGCCCAAGGUUUCUCUUGGGGACUAGUAAAGAGCAUGCUGCUACUCUUCUCACCCGCCUCUCUUACCGUCACCUUCCCUGCGACAUCCUUUCCUUGUAGAGGAAUAGCAUGGCUUUUUCGUGUCCCUGUGCAUGAGCGUGGAGCGUCUUGAGGUCAUGGUUGCCUGUGCAUCGUGUGGGGAGCACUUAGCCUAAAAAAAAAAGUGUGCAUGAGUGUGUGUGUGUGUUUGCACGCCAUGUUUGUGUACUUGUUUGACGCGAGAAACUUGACGUGGGGGUGUUUAAGUAAACAAAAAAGGUACAGUCUGGGGAGAGCUGUUGUAAUGUCUUACUGUGAUAACUGACUGUCGUUUCCCUUCUCUGUAUGUGUGUCUUUUGCACGCUUUCACCCUUUGUAAGGCCCAACUUGGUAGUACCUCUUGUGACACGCCCUUUAGCUGACUUACCCGCAGGAAGUGCUGGUGCAGGUGAUCAAAGCUUUUUGUUAUGCUAAGCAGUGCUGAAAUUUGUUUUUGACUAUUAGCUUCCAUAACUUUUCUUUUGCUGCUUUCAAAUGGUCAGGGCUGGUCCAAUUUGGAAACAUUCAUGUAAAUGUUAUGUAGGCAGCAUUCACCUAAUGUGAUAUGCUAUGGUCCUAGGUUCACACUCUUUAAAAGCAUUCAGACAUCUCAGCUGAUAGAAAUUGAGUGAACAGGUUCACUUUACGUUCUCAGCAUUUGACAUUGCUUAGCCAAGACAAUGAUACCUGCCCUACAGAAUGUUUUACCAAUUUGAGGUGCCUGUCACUAGACUGGGGGCGUAGUAUGCUUCUCGAAAAAUCCUCAUUCAUCUCAGCAUCCUGCGAGGUCGAAUGCGUCCUUUAUUCUCCUCCCCACUGUGCAUUUCGUACGCGAAAGAACAGCCUGUGUGUGCGCUGGGAGAAAACGUCUCUUCGGACCAAAGCAUGUACAUACAUCAUUACCAGUCAUGCUCACUCAUCCAUGUACAUUAUUUUGUACUCCUCAUAGCUAGCUAGAAACAUAUUAGCGUUGCAAAUUGGGCAAGUUGGUAACGAUCCAUAUUCACCACUUAAUUAAGGCAGGGACAAGCAAGAAGAGAGGACAGCACAUGUCCUGUGUUGUUCUGCUUGUCCCUGUCUUAUGUGGUGCUGUUGAAAAUGGAUAGCUAGAAACACAGAAAAAGGGAGUGAACAAUGUGUGGCACUGACGAACGCACAGAGUUCUCUCUCGCAGAAAAGUUGUGCUCUUUAUUGCCUGCUGUCCGAGAAAUCUCUCUCUCAUUUUGUUGUCCCCUUCCCAGUCGUUUAUUUUUCCCUUUCUUCGGCUAGUUCAUCACAUGCUUUCCAGUCUCCUGAAUGACUGAAUUCAAGUAGGAGAGUGGGUAUUUACGACUGCUCUGACAUCAUUCACAUGUGAACUUUGUAUUAAGGAGCAGUUCAACUUAACACUUUUUUUUUUUUCUAGCUUUAGAGCACAGGUUUUAAAUUUCACUGCAUUUUUUUUUUCCUUCGAGUUCUGUAUAUUCAUCCUCUCGCCCACCACUAUACCUGUCUUAGUUUGUUGUGUUGAUUGCAUGCGGUGCAUCGGGUAGCCACCCUGGCUUAAGUUUUACGUUCGCAUGCUCUUGGACAGCUUCAUCACUUGUGAAUGGUGAUCUAAUGGUGUUAUUUUAAUGUUGCCAUUAUUGCUUGUCCUGGUGUGUUCAGUAAUACCUAGAAUGUCUUCAAUUUAGUGUGGUUGCCGAUGUUCAUAUGACUGCAGUGAUUGGUGCUGUCCUUAACGUCUUACCCACUCCCCCUUCCCCCUUUUAUGUUGUUCAUGUGAUGAAAAUACACCUUUUUUUAGUAUGAUCUCAGUAUGUUGCACUUUCCUUUGCUUUUUUUUUUUUUCUUCUUUUUUUUUCUCAUUACGGUAGUGACGCUAUCGCAUCGGUGGUUGAUUUCUUUUUGUUUCAAAGUAUGUGGUGUAUUCACAAAAUAUGGGUUGUCACUCCAAGUGUAUGUUAAUGCCAUUGUAAUUCAUGUACUGUGUGUAAGUGUUGCCCCACAUAGGAACUUUUUGUACUCUUGCAAGGCCAUUGUAUGCAGCAGCAUUGUAUAUAGCGAGGUUAAUCUUACUAUCACCACCUUUUCAACUUACUGCAGGACAGUUUUCCUUCAUUUUUUUUUCUUUCUCUCUCCCUCUCGGGUGUUACCUCUUCUUAUUUCAACCUGUUUGUUGGUUUCUCAGCCAGUCAUACUGCAGACAUGUAUCCUCGCAGUUCUUGGAGUUCUUACAUGUCACUUCUUUUCACUGUGUUAUCCUGCAUUGAGCUGCAUCAUUUUACUUGGUGUUCUACCAGUGGUCUGACUUGCACGCCUGUGGGCUAAACCCUGCGUAGUAACUAGGCAAGCCAUUUCUUUUAAACUCGUAAGCGCUGAGGAGUAGUUGGUGUGUUUUUCAUCCUGUCUGUAAGCAAUCUGACAAAGCCUCACUUAUCCUCCAAUGUGGCCCAUGUACAUACACAGUAAAAUAUAUCACUGCAUUAAGUGUCAAAGG